rnacentral:rRNA from 1 species
AACGAACGCUGGCGGCAUGCCUAACACAUGCAAGUCGAACGAGACCUUCGGGUCUAGUGGCGCACGGGUGCGUAACGCGUGGGAAUCUGCCCUUGGGUUCGGCAUAACAGUUGGAAACGUCUGCUAAUACCGGAUGAUGACGUAAGUCCAAAGAUUUAUCGCCCAAGGAUGAGCCCGCGUAGGAUUAGCUAGUUGGUGAGGUAAAGGCUCACCAAGGCGACGAUCCUAAGCUGGUCUGAGAGGAUGAUCAGCCACACUGGGACUGAGACCCGGCCCAAACCCCUCGGGGAGGCCGCAGUGGGGAAUAUGGGACACUGGGCGAGAGACUGAUGCAGCAAGGCCGCGAGAGUGAUGAAGGCCUUAGGGUUGUAAAGCUCUUUUACCCGGGAUGAUAAUGACAGUACCGGGAGAAUAAGCUCCGGCUACCUCCGG